AAGAGAAUUAGCUUCUAUUUUCUGAUUCUUCUAUUCCUACACUUUCUGUAUCCAUCAAACGGCUACUUAUGUCAUGUUAAUCUAAUCAUUUGAGGAACUAUCGAAUGAUCGAUCUAGCCAGUAAAGAUUGAAAUUCCAUGAAUUGCAUCGAAGAAUUGCGUUUCUUUGCACUUUCUCAAGACACCGUAGGCGAAGAAAAAUUGCGGCAAGACCAAUUUUUUACAAAACGACCUUUCUAUCAACACAAGAUCGAAGAUUAGAUUCUUAACCAUCUAACGUCAUUACGUAACCCUUAAACAAAGAAUCUUAGGAUGGUCAUAGUUGACGUUAUGCAUGGUGAUUUUGCGGUUGAUGGAAGAUCUUGAAUUGGUGGAACGAAGUAAUGUGAUCGGAAAGAUUGAAAGCUGGAGGAUGGAAAAGGACCACAAAAUGACCUGAAAAAGAUCGAUAGAAGGUUAGUGAAAGAAAGAGAAAGAAAACUAAAGUUAGAAAGGUAUACGAUAGGAUCUACGAGGGCUUCUGUCUUCAGCGUGACUGACAUGCCCAAAAAAAGUCAUAGCUGGAGGCAACCGGAAAAUUUGAGUAGAUGAAAGUCGAAUGCGAGAGGACAGGUCAGGUGGACACGUUAUCUUAUAUCUGGUCAAUCGUCCGUGGCAGGUGGUAACAAGAAAUUCAGGGAUACGUUUGCCGCGUAAUUAUUCGCCGCGGUAGAUGUCAGAUAAGCUUCGCAAGCGAAUUAUUAAUGAAACUGCCGAAUCAAGAGAAAUCGGUCGGAAAAAGAGGGAGCUGUUGGAAACUUGUUAUAUCAUCGCGCUUCCUUGACCCUGGAGCCGAAACUCGUCUCGAUAUAUACUCGCAUACAUCACUUUUGAACUGAUUUGCGUGUCCAGUUUACGAAUCGAUGAAUUGAAUCUAUAAAAAUUUCUGCAAUUUGAGUAAAUGCUAUAAUAUUUCUCAAUCUAAAUAUUUAUCAAAUUGUGUUCUAUUAUUUUGUGAAAAAUUAUUAAAAUU